GAUGAAGAACGUAGCAAAAUGCGAUACUUGGUGUGAAUUGCAGAAUCCCGUGAACCAUCGAGUCUUUGAACGCAAGUUGCGCCCGAAGCCAUUAGGCCGAGGGCACGCCUGCCUGGGCGUCACACGUCGUUGCCCCCCCAUCUACUCCUUCGGGAUUGCGGGGGGCGGAUGAUGGCCUCCCGUGCGCCUCGUCGCGCGGUUGGCAUAAAUGCCAAGUCCUCGGCGACGCACGCCACGACAAUCGGUGGUUGCGAAACCUCGGUUGCCCGUCGUGUGCGGUCGUCGCGCAUCGAGGGCUCGAAAAAAUUGUCGGGCUCCGGCUCGGCUUUCAACGCGACCCCAGGUCAGGCGGGGUUACCCGCUGAAUUUAAGCAUAUCAAUAAGCGGAGGA
rnacentral:misc_RNA from 1 species